rnacentral:rRNA from 1 species
UGUGUAGGCGGUUCUCUAAGUCUGGUGUGAAAUCUCCCGGCUCAACUGGGAGGGUGCGCCGAAAACUGGAGGGCUAGAGUGCGGGAUGGGUAAGUGGAAUUCCUGGUGUAGCGGUGAAAUGCGUAGAUAUCAGGAGGAACACCUGUGGUGUAGACGGCUUACUGGACCGCAACUGACGCUGAAACACGAAAGCGUGGGUAGAAC